GGGUUGUGAGGUUAAGCGACUAAGCGUACACGGUGGAUGCCCUGGCAGUCAGAGGCGAUGAAGGACGUGCUAAUCUGCGAUAAGCGUCGGUGAGGUGAUAUGAACCGUUAUAACCGGCGAUUUCCGAAUGGGGAAACCCAGUGUGUUUCGACACACUAUCAUUAACUGAAUCCAUAGGUUAAUGAGGCGAACCGGGGGAACUGAAACAUCUAAGUACCCCGAGGAAAAGAAAUCAACCGAGAUUCCCCCAGUAGCGGCGAGCGAACGGGGAGGAGCCCAGAGCCUGAAUCAGUGUGUGUAUUAGUGGAAGCGUCUGGAAAGGCGCGCGAUACAGGGUGACAGCCCCGUACACAAAAAUGCACAUAUUGUGAGCUCGAUGAGUAGGGCGGGACACGUGGUAUCCUGUCUGAAUAUGGGGGGACCAUCCUCCAAGGCUAAAUACUCCUGACUGACCGAUAGUGAACCAGUACCGUGAGGGAAAGGCGAAAAGAACCCCGGCGAGGGGAGUGAAAAAGAACCUGAAACCGUGUACGUACAAGCAGUGGGAGCCUCUUAAUGGGGUGACUGCGUACCUUUUGUAUAAUGGGUCAGCGACUUAUAUUCUGUAGCAAGGUUAACCGAAUAGGGGAGCCGAAGGGAAACCGAGUCUUAACUG
rnacentral:rRNA from 1 species